rnacentral:rRNA from 1 species
AUACAGAGGGUGCAAGCGUUAAUCGGAAUUACUGGGCGUAAAGCGCGCGUAGGCGGUUUAUUAAGUCGGAUGUGAAAGCCCUGGGCUUAACCUGGGAACGGCAUUCGAAACUGGUAGACUAGAGUAUGAUAGAGGAAAGUGGAAUUCCAGGUGUAGCGGUGAAAUGCAUAGAUAUCUGGAGGAACAUCAGUGGCGAAGGCGGCUUUCUGGAUCAAUACUGACGCUGAGGUGCGAAAGCGUGGGGAGCAAACAGGAUUAGAAACCCCGGUAGUCC